rnacentral:lncRNA from 1 species
UAUAUAUAGUCCGGCUACUAUACUUUUAUGAGUACGAUCGCCCUCGUACUCAUAAGUUGUUUUCGAUGAUAGAGCUUCUGAAUCGACGAUCCAUACCGUCAAACAUUAUCUAGAACAUUUAAAACUUAUAGAAAUUAAAUUUCAUAAUUUUUCGACAUUAUUUACCUUACGAUCAAAAGUUCACAAAAUUGACAAUUUUUAACGGCCGGUAUGGAAUACUUACUAGUUUAACGGUAUAAUAGAAUUGGAAUAGAUUGAAUUUUUAAUAGAAAAUUCUAUUCACUACCUAGAUAAAGAUCAAUAACUCUGAUCUUAAAUUGAAGGAUCCGAUCAUCCAUUUUUAGGACAAUGUUCGAUUUUGACCGUUCAUUUUAUGCCCGUUUGAUGGACUUUAUUAUGAUUUCAAAAAAUUAUGAAAUUUAUUUUUAGAAGUUUCAAAUAUUCUAGAUCAUAUUUAACGGAGUGGAUUAUCGAUUCGGAAGUCUCAUUAUCAAAAAUAACUUAUGAGUAUGAAGGCCCUAAUACUCAUAAUAGUAUAGUAGCCCUACUCUAUAAAUAUAGGGAAAACUUUAAAAACCCCCCUGUGGUUUCGUAGUUUCUCACUUUGCCCCCCUGUGGUUUAAAAUGUAUCAAUUUGCCCCCCUGUGGUUUAAUUUUUAUCUUUUCGGUAGCUUUUUCGUUAAUAUUUUAUUAAAUUAUAUACAAAAAACUUUAGAUACCUAUCUAGAUUUAUCAAAUAUUUACUUUAGUACCAUUUAAUUUUAACUUUAUUACUGAUUUAAGAAAAAAAAAAUAAUGAAAUUGAUAAGAAAAAGAAAAAAAAGAAACCAUAGGGGGGCAAAUUGAUACAUUUUAAACCACAUGGGGGCAAAGUGAGAAACUAC